ACGCUGGCGGCGUGCCUAAUACAUGCAAGUAGAACGCACAGGAUGCACCGUAGUUUACUACACCGUAUUCUGUGAGUUGCGAACGGGUGAGUAACGCGUAGGUAACCUGCCUGGUAGCGGGGGAUAACUAUUGGAAACGAUAGCUAAUACCGCAUAAGAACAUUUACUGCAUGGUAGAUGUCUAAAAGGUGCAAGAGCAUCACUACCAGAUGGACCUGCGUUGUAUUAGCUAGUUGGUGAGGUAACGGCUCACCAAGGCAACGAUACAUAGCCGACCUGAGAGGGUGAUCGGCCACACUGGGACUGAGACACGCCCAGACUCCUACGGGAGGCAGCAGUAGGGAAUCUUCGGCAAUGGGGGGAACCCUGACCGAGCAACGCCGCGUGAGUGAAGAAGGUUUUCGGAUCGUAAAGCUCUGUUGUUAAGGAAGAACGUGUGUGAGAGUGGAAAGUUCACACAGUGACGGUACUUAACCAGAAAGGGACGGCUAACUACGUGCCAGCAGCCGCGGUAAUACGUAGGUCCCGAGCGUUGUCCGGAUUUAUUGGGCGUAAAGCGAGCGCAGGCGGUUAGAUAAGUCUGAAGUGAAAGGCAGUGGCUCAACCAUUGUAGGCUUUGGAAACUGUUUAACUUGAGUGCAGAAGGGGAGAGUGGAAUUCCAUGUGUAGCGGUGAAAUGCGUAGAUAUAUGGAGGAACACCGGUGGCGAAAGCGGCUCUCUGGUCUGUAACUGACGCUGAGGCUCGAAAGCGUGGGGAGCGAACAGGAUUAGAUACCCUGGUAGUCCACGCCGUAAACGAUGAGUGCUAGGUGUUAGGUCCUUUCCGGGACUUAGUGCCGCAGCUAACGCAUUAAGCACUCCGCCUGGGGAGUACGACCGCAAGGUUGAAACUCAAAGGAAUUGACGGG
rnacentral:rRNA from 1 species